GACGAACGCUGGCGGCGUGCUUAACACAUGCAAGUCGAACGAUGAUGCCGUGCUUGCACGGUUGAUUAGUGGCGAACGGGUGAGUAACACGUGAGUAACCUGCCCCUCACUUUGGGAUAACUCCGGGAAACCGGGGCUAAUACUGGAUAUGAGCCUUCCUCGCAUGGGGUCGGUUGGAAAGGGUUGCUGGUGGGGGGUGGGCUCGCGGCCUAUCAGCUUGUUGGUGGGGUGAUGGCCUACCAAGGCUUCGACGGGUAGCCGGCCUGAGAGGGCGACCGGCCACAUUGGGACUGAGAUACGGCCCAGACUCCUACGGGAGGCAGCAGUGGGGAAUAUUGCACAAUGGGCGAAAGCCUGAUGCAGCGACGCCGCGUGAGGGAUGGAGGCCUUCGGGUUGUAAACCUCUUUCGGCAGGGAAGAAGCGUUAAGUGACGGUACCUGCAGAAGAAGGGCCGGCUAACUACGUGCCAGCAGCCGCGGUAA
rnacentral:rRNA from 1 species